GGACUCAAAGGCGGGGUUUGGCGAAGCACCUGGGUUUCAGGCACUAGCAGUCCCCUGCGGAGAGCUGAUGAGAACCUCCAAAGGGCCACUAACAGCAGCAGUGGCGGUUACAACACAAAGCUGGGCUAACGACUUCGGGGAAGCCUUGGCUUCCAAGGCAGGAAGAAUGCAAAGAAUGCCUUAACUAAAAGACCCAGCGUUCCCAGUCUGAACCCAAGGAGAAAAGCCAUCAAAAAGAAUUACACAAUGCUGUCGAGACCCUUCAGACAACAAGAGGACUCACACCCAGACCACCCAUCCCUGGGGAAAUGUAGGCACUGGGAGCCGGCACCUCCCCCGGGCUCCAGUUCCCACCGGGUUGACGAUGACAAGCGUUAGUCACAGGUCAGGCAGCAUCGUCAGUGCCUUGCGCUUAAUAAUGCACGUAAUGAUCAAACAAGCCCAGGAAGGCCGGGCCACCGUCCCUUAACUACGGGCGAGAAACACCACGGAGGCGACGUCACACAGACCCGAGUCUUCCGACCGCGGGGACAGAGGCGUGGCCGAGCCCAGACACCCCGGUGUCCCGGAAUGCGAGCGACCGGUGACGCGGGGAAUGACCUGAGCGCGGCCAACCCGGGAGGGCCCUCGGCUUGCCCGAGCCCGGCGGCGGUGGGGCCCAAAGCCCGUUCACCACAGCCGUCCCUUUAACCCAAACUUUCUCCUUCCACUCUGGACCCCAGCACGCGCGCAUUGGCCGAGCCACAUCCGCUUGGAUCCGCCUUCUCCCCCUGCCCAUUGGUCACCCUCAGCAUCAAUCCCCACACGAGGCUUCCGAUUGGUCUGCAAUCUUGUCAAUCAGGUGAAACACGGGCGGGGCGGAGCCAAGAGCGCCGCGCCAGCCUCGCCGCCUGCCUCCCUCCUCCCGGCUCUGGCUGGGGACUCCGACAGGUCUCGGCCGGCGCCACACACGGGGGCGGGGCCGCGCGCGGCUCCCGGGACUCACCGAUGCGUUGUCCCACCGGAGAGCUGAACGGGUUUCCCAGGAGAAAGUCCAUUGCCGCGGCUACCACUGCCACCAGCUCCCAGAAUCAGGUCUCAGAGAGUAAAUGUGGCAGCUAGUACCUGUGAACCAUCUCACUCCUCAUCCUCCCUAGCUGGCAGUGCUGGAGCUCGCACCUAGGACCUUGUCACACCAAGCCAGUGCUCUGCAGCCUUUUUUUUACUCUUCUUAGGCUGGUCUCAAAUUCAGAUCUCCUGAGUGUUGGAAUUAUAUUCGUCAUCAUUAAAACCCAGCCUUUAAUACCA